AGAGUUUGAUCCUGGCUCAGGAUGAACGCUAGCGGCAGGCUUAACACAUGCAAGUCGAGGGGCAUCGGGAGGGAAGCUUGCUUUCCUUGCCGGCGACCGGCGCACGGGUGAGUAACACGUAUGCAACCUGCCCUCUUCAGGGGGACAACCUUCCGAAAGGGAGGCUAAUCCCGCGUAUAUCGGUUUCGGGCAUCCGAGAUCGAGGAAAGAUUCAUCGGAAGAGGAUGGGCAUGCGGCGCAUUAGCUAGACGGCGGGGUAACGGCCCACCGUGGCGACGAUGCGUAGGGGUUCUGAGAGGAAGGUCCCCCACACUGGUACUGAGACACGGACCAGACUCCUACGGGAGGCAGCAGUGAGGAAUAUUGGUCAAUGGGAGAGAUCCUGAACCAGCCAAGCCGCGUGAGGGAAGACGGCCCUAUGGGUUGUAAACCUCUUUUGUCGGAGAACAAAACCCGGGACGAGUCCCGGACUGCGUGUAUCCGAAGAAAAAGCAUCGGCUAACUCCGUGCCAGCAGCCGCGGUAAUACGGAGGAUGCGAGCGUUAUCCGGAUUUAUUGGGUUUAAAGGGUGCGUAGGCGGUCCGUUAAGUCAGCGGUAAAAUUGCGGGGCUCAACCCCGUCGAGCCGUUGAAACUGGCAGACUUGAGUUGGCGAGAAGUACGCGGAAUGCGCGGUGUAGCGGUGAAAUGCAUAGAUAUCGCGCAGAACUCCGAUUGCGAAGGCAGCGUACCGGCGCCAGACUGACGCUGAGGCACGAAAGCGUGGGGAUCGAACAGGAUUAGAUACCCUGGUAGUCCACGCAGUAAACGAUGAAUGCUGGUUGUCCGGGUCGAAUGAAAUCUGGGCGGCAAAACGAAA
rnacentral:rRNA from 1 species